rnacentral:tRNA from 1 species
CAGAGUAUGGCUAAACACAUCUAAAGCAUCUCCCUUACACUGAGAAGAUAUCUGUGAAAAUCGGAUUACCCUGA